ACACCUCAACUCUCAUGGCUUGCCAUGAUGAGCUUGGACUUUGGGGGUCUUGCUGGCCUGUAGACAGCUCCUCUCAAAAGUAUUAGCUUGCCGGUGUUUGGUGGCAUCACAGGUGUGAUAACUAUCUACACUUGUGGUUUUCCACCAGGUAACCUUCAGCAAUGAAGGUUCGCUGGAGCUUACAAAAGUCUCUCCUCAGUGAGGACAGCGAUUUGAAC
rnacentral:misc_RNA from 1 species